rnacentral:lncRNA from 1 species
AGGAUUGCUUACAUCUAUCUACCCCUAUAAUUAUUUUCUAGUGAUAGAUAAUUGAAACUGAAAUUCCUAGUAAGAAUAAUUUUUUCCAGUGAGGCAAACAUUGAAGGAUUCAAAUUGAUGUGAAUUCAUGUUCUUAAAUAGCUAUAAAAACUAGAAAUAGUAUGAACCCAAAAGGACAACCAAAAUAAACAAGAUCAAAAGUUCACGAUGUUAACGAACCAUCAAUAUAACAAAAA